rnacentral:rRNA from 1 species
AUUAGCCAUGCAUGUCUCAGUACAAGCCGCAUUAAGGUGAAACCGCGAAUGGCUCAUUAAAUCAGUUAUGGUUCCUUAGAUCGUACCCACGUUACUUGGAUAACUGUGGUAAUUCUAGAGCUAAUACAUGCAAACAGAGUCCCGACCAGAGAUGGAAGGGACGCUUUUAUUAGAUCAAAACCAAUCGGUCGGCUCGUCCGGUCCGUUUGCCUUGGUGACUCUGAAUAACUUUGGGCUGAUCGCACGGUCUCCGUACCGGCGACGCAUCUUUCAAAUGUCUGCCUUAUCAACUGUCGAUGGUAGGUUCUGCGCCUACCAUGGUUGUAACGGGUAACGGGGAAUCAGGGUUCGAUUCCGGAGAGGGAGCCUGAGAAACGGCUACCACAUCCAAGGAAGGCAGCAGGCGCGCAAAUUACCCACUCCCGGCACGGGGAGGUAGUGACGAAAAAUAACGAUACGGGACUCAUCCGAGGCCCCGUAAUCGGAAUGAGUACACUUUAAAUCCUUUAACGAGUAUCUAUUGGAGGGCAAGUCUGGUGCCAGCAGCCGCGGUAAUUCCAGCUCCAAUAGCGUAUAUUAAAGUUGUUGCGGUUAAAAAGCUCGUAGUUGGAUUUGUGUCCCACGCUGUUGGUUCACCGCCCGUCGGUGUUUAACUGGCAUGUAUCGUGGGACGUCCUGCCGGUGGGGCGAGCCGAAGGCGCGCGGAGCGCCUCCGUGUGUCUCCGUGCGUCCCGAGGCGGACCCCGUUGAAAUCCUACCGCGGUGCUCUUUACCGAGUGUCGAGGUGGGCCGGCACGUUUACUUUGAACAAAUUAGAGUGCUUAAAGCAGGCAAGCCCGCCUGAAUACUGUGUGCAUGGAAUAAUGGAAUAGGACCUCGGUUCUAUUUUGUUGGUUUUCGGAACCCGAGGUAAUGAUUAAUAGGGACAGGCGGGGGCAUUCGUAUUGCGACGUUAGAGGUGAAAUUCUUGGAUCGUCGCAAGACGAACAGAAGCGAAAGCAUUUGCCAAGUAUGUUUUCAUUA